AGCAGCCGCGGUAAUUCCAGCUCCAAUAGCGUAUAUUAAAGUUGUUGCAGUUAAAAAGCUCGUAGUUGAAUUUCGGGAUUGACGUGAUGGUCGUGCCUUACGGGGUAUGAACUGUUGCAGUCAAUUUCUCACCUUCUGGAGAAAUAUGAUGUCCUUAAUUGGGUGUCAUAUGGAACCAGAACUUUUACCUUGAAAAAUUAGAGUGUUUAAAGCAGGCUUAUUGCUCGAAUACAUUAGCAUGGAAUAAUAAAAUAGGACGGCAUGGUUCUAUUUUGUUGGUUUCUAGGAUCACCGUAAUGAUUAAUAGGGAUAGUUGGGGGCAUUAGUAUUCAAUUGUCAGAGGUGAAAUUCUUGGAUUUAUUGAAGACUAACUACUGCGAAAGCAUUUGCCAAGGAUGUUUUCAUUAAUCAAGAACGAAAGUUAGGGGAUCGAAGACGAUCAGAUACCGUCGUAGUCUUAACCAUAAACUAUGCCGACUAGGAAUCAGACGAUGUUAAUUUUUUAAUGACUCGUUU
rnacentral:misc_RNA from 1 species